UACGUAGGGUGCGAGCGUUAAUCGGAAUUACUGGGCGUAAAGCGUGCGCAGGCGGUUCGCCAAGUCAGGUGUGAAAUCCCCGGGCUUAACCUGGGAAUUGCGCUUGAAACUAGCGGGCUUGAGUGUGGCAGAGGGGGGUGGAAUUCCACGUGUAGCAGUGAAAUGCGUAGAGAUGCGGAGGAACACCGAUGGCGAAGGCAGGCCCUGGCU
rnacentral:rRNA from 1 species